rnacentral:snoRNA from 1 species
CAAAUUGAUGAAGAAGACAUUGUUGCAUACAUGAUCGCCGGCCUUGACUCUGACUAUGAGCCAGUGGUGUCCGCCCUCGCCGCACAGAAGGAACCUGUCACCAUAGCAGAGCUCUAUGGGCAGCUGCUAGGGUUUGAAG